GACGAACGCUGGCGGCGUGCUUAUCACAUGCAAGUCGAACGGAAAGGCCCUGCUUUUGUGGGGUGCUCGAGUGGCGAACGGGUGAGUAACACGUGAGUAACCUGCCCUUGACUUUGGGAUAACUUCAGGAAACUGGGGCUAAUACCGGAUAGGAGCUCCUGCUGCAUGGUGGGGGUUGGAAAGUUUCGGCGGGUGGGGAUGGACUCGCGGCUUAUCAGCUUGUUGGGGGGGUAGUGGCUUACCAAGGCUUUGACGGGUAGCCGGCCUGAGAGGGUGACCGGCCACAUUGGGACUGAGAUACGGCCCAGACUCCUACGGGAGGCAGCGGUGGGGAAUAUUGUACAAUGGGCGGAAGCCUGAUGCAGCAACGCCGCGUGCGGGAUGACGGCCUUCGGGUUGUAAACCGCUUUCGCCUGUGACGAAGCGUGAGUGACGGUAAUGGGUAAAGAAGCACCGGCUAACUACGUG
rnacentral:rRNA from 1 species